AACCGCCGUAUACGGAACCGUACGUACGGUGGUGUGGGAGGUCAGGUAGCGAAAUAAUCGCUACCUACCUACCCGAU
rnacentral:ncRNA from 1 species